AGUUGGAACGACUGCUAAUACCGGAUAUGCCGAAGGGUGAAAGAUUUAUUGCCUGGAGAUGAGCUCGCGUCUGAUUAGCUAGUUGGUGGGGUAAGAGCCUACCAAGGCGACGAUCAGUAGCUGGUCUGAGAGGAUGAUCAGCCACACUGGGACUGAGACACGGCCCAGACUCCUACGGGAGGCAGCAGUGGGGAAUUUUCCGCAAUGGGCGAAAGCCUGACGGAGCAAUACCGCGUGAGGGAGGAAGGCUCUUGGGUCGUAAACCUCUUUUCUCAAGGAAGAAAAAAAUGACGGUACUUGAGGAAUAAGCAUCGGCUAACUCCGUGCCAGCAGCCGCGGUAAUACGGAGGAUGCAAGCGUUAUCCGGAAUGAUUGGGCGUAAAGGGUCCGCAGGUGGAACUGAAAGUCUGCUGUUAAAGAAUCUGGCUCAACCAGAUAAAAGCAGUGGAAACUACAGAACUAGAGUGCGUUCGGGGCAGAAGGAAUUCCUGGUGUAGCGGUGAAAUGCGUAGAUAUCAGGAAGAACACCGGUGGCGAAAGCGUUCUGCUAGGCCGCAACUGACACUGAGGGACGAAAGCUAGGGGAGCGAAUGGGAUUAGAUACCCCCAUAA
rnacentral:rRNA from 1 species